CGGGGGGAGCAAGCGUUGUUCGGAUUUACUGGGCGUAAAGGGCGCGUAGGCGGCCAGCGCAAGUCAGUUGUGAAAUCUCCGGGCUUAACUCGGAAAGGUCAACUGACACUGCGCGGCUAGAGUGCAGAAGGGGCAACUGGAAUUCUCGGUGUAGCGGUGAAAUGCGUAGAUAUCGAGAGGAACACCUGCGGCGAAGGCGGGUUGCUGGGCUGACACUGACGCUGAGGCGCGAAAGCCAGGGGAGCGAACGGGAUUAGAUACCCCGGUAGUCCUGGCCUUAAACGAUGGAUGCUUGGUGUCUGGAGUUUUAUAGUCUCCGGGUGCCGUAGCUAACGCGUUAAGCAUCCCGCCUGGGGAGUACGGUCGCAAGACUG
rnacentral:rRNA from 1 species